rnacentral:rRNA from 1 species
AUUGAACGCUGGCGGCAGGCUUAACACAUGCAAGUCGAGCGGAGCGAGGGUGCUUGCACCUUAGCUUAGCGGCGGACGGGUGAGUAAUGCUUAGGAAUCUGCCUAUUAGGGGGGGACAACAUUCCGAAAGGAAUGCUAAUACCGCAUACGCGCUACGGAGGAAAGCAGGGGAUCUUCGGACCUUGCGCUAAUAGAUGAGCCUAAGUCGGAUUAGCUAGUUGGUGGGGUAAAGGCCUACCAAGGCGACGAUCUGUAGCGGGUCUGGGAGGAUGAUCCGCCACACUGGGACUGAGACACGGCACAGACUCCUACGGGAGGCAGCAGUGGGGAAUAUUGGACAAUGGGCGGAAGCCUGAUCCAGCCAUGCCGCGUGUGUGAAGAAGGCCUUUUGGUUGUAAAGCACUUUAAGCGAGGAGGAGGCUACUUAGAUUAAUACUCUGGGAUAGUGGACGUUACUCGCAGAAUAAGCACCGGCUAACUCUGUGCCAGCAGCCGCAGUAAUAC